AGGGCACCACCAGGAGUGGAGCCUGCGGCUUAAUUUGACUCAACACGGGGAAACUCACCCGGCCCGGACACCGUAAGGAUUGACAGAUUGAUAGCUUUUUCAUGAUUCGGUGGAUGGUGGUGCAUGGCCGUUCUUAGUUCGUGGAGCGAUUUGUCUGGUUUAUUCCGAUAACGAGCGAGACUCUAGCCUACUAAAUAGUUCGCACAUUGUCUCUGUGUGUGUGACCUCUUAGAGGGAUUUUCGGUGUUCAGCCGCACGAAAUUGAGCAAUAACAGGUCUGUGAUGCCCUUAGAUGUCCGGGGCUGCACGCGCGCUACACUGGCAAAAUCAGCGUGCUUGUCCUUCCCCGAAAGGGGUUGGUAAACCCUUGAAAAUUUGCCGUGAUUGGGAUUGGAAAUUGCAAUUAUUUUCCAUGAACGAGGAAUUCCAAGUAAGUGCGAGUCAUCAGCUCGCGUUGAUUACGUCCCUGCCCUUUGUACACACCGCCCGUCGCUGCCCGGGACUGAGCCAUUUCGAGAA
rnacentral:rRNA from 1 species